CUGCAACCCGACUCCACGAAGUUGGAUUCGCUAGUAAUCGCGCAUCAGCCAUGGCGCGGUGAAUACGUUCCCGGGCCUUGUACACACCGCCCGUCAAGCCAUGGGAGCCGGGGGCGCCUGAAGUCCGGGACCGCGAGGACCGGCCUAGGGCGAAACUGGUAACUGGGGCUAAGUCGUAACAAGGUAUC
rnacentral:rRNA from 1 species